GUGAAGAACGCAGUGAAAUGCGAUACUUGGUGUGAAUUGCAGAAUCCCGUGAACCAUCGAGUCUUUGAACGCAAGUUGCGCCCGAAGCCAUUAGGCCGAGGGCACGCCUGCCUGGGCGUCACACGUCGUUGCCCCCCCAUCUACUCCUUCGGGAUUGCGGGGGGCGGAUGAUGGCCUCCCGUGCGCCACGCCGCGCGGUUGGCAUAAAUGCCAAGUCCUCGGCGACGCACGCCACGACAAUCGGUGGUUGCGAAACCUCGGUUGCCCGUCGUGUGCGGUCGUCGCGCAUCGAGGGCUCGAAAAAAUUGCCGGGUUCCGGCUCGGCUUUCAACGCGACCCCAGGUCAGGCGGGGUUACCCGCUGAAUUUAAGCAUAUCAAUAAGCGGAGGA
rnacentral:misc_RNA from 1 species